GGAAGUGCUGUAUCUCAGCAGUACAGCAUCUGCUUGGCAUGCAGAAGGUCCCAGGUUUAAUCCAUGGCAUCUCCA